rnacentral:tRNA from 1 species
GCCGUGGCUCAGAGGUAAAGUUUCUGCCUUGUGUGCACAAGGUCCCAGGUUCAAUUCCUAGUAUCUUCA